GGCGAACUGGUGAGUAACACGUAGGUAACUUGCCCUAAAGCGGGGGAUAACAUUUGGAAACAAGUGCUAAUACCGCAUAACAACAAAAACCGCCUGGUUUUUGUUUGAAAGAUGCGUUUGCAUCACUUUAGGAUGGACCUGCGGCGUAUUAGCUAGUUGGUAAGGUAAUGGCUUACCAAGGCAAUGAUACGUAGCCGACCUGAGAGGGUAAUCGGCCACAAUGGGACUGAGACACGGCCCAU
rnacentral:rRNA from 1 species